rnacentral:rRNA from 1 species
AUUGAACGCUGGCGGCAGGCUUAACACAUGCAAGUCGAGCGGGGUGAUGGUGCUUGCACUAUCACUUAGCGGCGGACGGGUGAGUAAUGCUUAGGAAUCUGCCUAUUAGUGGGGGACAACAUCUCGACAGGGAUGCUAAUACCGCAUACGUCCUACGGGAGAAAGCAGGGGAUCACUUGUGACCUUGCGCUAAUAGAUGAGCCUAAGUCGGAUUAGCUAGUUGGUGGGGUAAAGGCCUACCAAGGCGACGAUCUGUAGCGGGUCUGAGAGGAUGAUACGCCACACUGGGACUGAGACACGGCCCAGACUCCUACGGGAGGCAGCAGUGGGGAAUAUUGGACAAUGGGGGGAACCCUGAUCCAGCCAUGCCGCGUGUGUGAAGAAGGCCUUAUGGUUGUAAAGCACUUUAAGCGAGGAGGAGGCUCUUUUGGUUAAUACCCAGAAUGAGUGGACGUUACUCGCAAAAUAAGCACCGGCUAACUCUGUGCCAGCCGCCGCUGUAAAAC